UCCCCGGGCUCAACCUGGGAACUGCAUUCGAAACUGGCAGGCUUGAGUCUUGUAGAGGGGGGUAGAAUUCCAGGUGUAGCGGUGAAAUGCGUAGAGAUCUGGAGGAAUACCGGUGGCGAAGGCGGCCCCCUGGACAAAGACUGACGCUCAGGUGCGAAAGCGUGGGGAGCAAACAGGAAUAGAUACCCUGGUAGUCCACGCUGUAAACGAUGUCGACUUGGAGGUUGUGCCCUUGAGGCGUGGCUUCCGGAGCUAACGCGUUAAGUCGACCGCCUGGGGAGUACGGCCGCAAGGUUAAAACUCAAAUGAAUUGACGGGGGCCCGCACAAGCGGUGGAGCAUGUGGUUUAAUUCGAUGCAACGCGAAGAACCUUACCUACUCUUGACAUCCAGAGAACUUAGCAGAGAUGCUUUGGUGCCUUCGGGAACUCUGAGACAGGUGCUGCAUGGCUGUCGUCAGCUCGUGUUGUGAAAUGUUGGGUUAAGUCCCGCAACGAGCGCAACCCUUAUCCUUUGUUGCCAGCGAUUCGGUCGGGAACUCAAAGGAGACUGCCAGUGAUAAACUGGAGGAAGGUGGGGAUGACGUCAAGUCAUCAUGGCCCUUACGAGUAGGGCUACACGCGUGCUACAAUGGCGCAUACAAAGAGAAGCGAACUCGCGAGAGCAAGCGGACCUCAUAAAGUGCGUCGUAGUCCGGAUCGGAGUCUGCAAC
rnacentral:rRNA from 1 species